CAGUAGCGCGGUAAUGCGAAGGGUGCAAGCGUUAAUCGGAAUUACUGGGCGUAAAGCGUGCGUAGGCGGUGAGUUAAGUCUGCUGUGAAAUCCCCGGGCUCAACCUGGGAAUGGCAGUGGAUACUGGCUCGCUAGAGUGUGUCAGAGGAUGGUGGAAUUCCCGGUGUAGCGGUGAAAUGCGUAGAGAUCGGGAGGAACAUCAGUGGCGAAGGCGGCCAUCUGGGACAACACUGACGCUGAGGCACGAGAGCGUGGGGAGCAAACAGGAGUAGAUACCCCGGUAGUCCCUGUCUCUUAUACA
rnacentral:rRNA from 1 species